GAUGAAGAACGUAGCGAAACGCGAUAAGUAAUGUGAAUUGCAGAAUCCAGUGAAUCAUCGAAUCUUUGAACGCACAUUGCGCCCUUUGGUAUUCCUUAGGGCAUGCCUGUUCGAGCGUCAUUUAAACCUUCAAGCUCAGCUUGGUGUUGGGUGACUGUCCGCUUCACCGCGGACUCGCCUCAAAAUUAUUGGCGGCCGGUACAUUGGCUCUCGAGCGCAGCAGAAACGCGUAACUCGAGGUCCUCGUGCUGGCUCCCAGAAGCUAUCUUCACAAUUUUGACCUCGGAUCAGGUAGGGAUACCCGCUGAACUUAAGCAUAUCAAUAAGCGGAGGA
rnacentral:misc_RNA from 1 species